GAUGAACGCUGGCGGCGUGCCUAAUACAUGCAAGUCGAGCGAACAGACGAGGAGCUUGCUCCUCUGACGUUAGCGGCGGACGGGUGAGUAACACGUGGAUAACCUACCUAUAAGACUGGGAUAACUUCGGGAAACCGGAGCUAAUACCGGAUAAUAUAUUGAACCGCAUGGUUCAAUAGUGAAAGACGGUUUUGCUGUCACUUAUAGAUGGAUCCGCGCCGCAUUAGCUAGUUGGUAAGGUAACGGCUUACCUAGGCAACGAUGCGUAGCCGACCUGAGAGGGUGAUCGGCCACACUGGAACUGAGACACGGUCCAGACUCCUACGGGAGGCAGCAGUGGGGAAUAUUCCACAAUGGGCGAAAGCCUGACGGAGCAACGCCGCGUGAGUGAUGAAGGUCUUCGGAUCGUAAAACUCUGUUAUUAGGGAAGAACAAAUGUGUAAGUAACUAUGCACGUCUUGACGGUACCUAAUCAGAAAGCCACGGCUAACUACGUG
rnacentral:rRNA from 1 species